CAAAGACAUGGAUAAUCAGACAUGCCAGAAGAGCAGAUGUACUAAUAAAGAAUCUGUUUUGACAUGAAAUGGAUAUAUCCAUAUAUCUCUGACUCAUAUUUACGAGAUGAUUAAAUAUGGCAAAAGCUAUACCAAAAAUUAGUUCGCGUAGGAAUGGACGUAUUGGUUCACGUAAGGGUGCACGUAGAAUACCAAAGGG
rnacentral:lncRNA from 1 species